GGGGCGUGCGCGGCGCAGCGUCUCUUCCGGGCUGCGCGGCUCCGCCUCCCUGCAGGACCCGCGCGCUGCCUGGGGUGCCCUCGGCAGUGCCUGAGGAGUGGGGACGGUGCUAGGACGCAUGUGCGAGCCAUCCCGCUACGCUUCCCGCCCCCUCCUCCACCCCGCCCCCACCUGGAGAUUGCUAGCCCGUCUACAGUUGUCUGAUGGGGGACUGAGAUGGGCUGCCACAGUCUGGUCCUGCUCUGUAGCCUGGGCUGCGGUCAAUCUUGAGAUCUCCCAGCCACAGCCUCAAGUGCUGAGAAACCAGGUGCGGCUGUAAGCAUCUAAAACAAGAUAGUUCCAGGCGGAGUCUCUGACUGGCCGGCUGGAGAUGAGGCUGGGCUGGAACUCCUAGCUACCCUCUGCUUCUGCCUCCCACGCUGCUGUUAACUAAUGGGCCCUCCAGUUAGCUCAUCCCAGGAAAUCCAUAAAAGCCUUUUGUUCCUGA